AAACAAGUGGAUUGACGACUCGGUGAUGUGAAAAGAAAAGUGGUUUGACGCCUGUAAUGUGAAACGACAAUUGGUUCGACGCCUGUAAUAUGAAACGGCAAGUGGUUUGACGUCUGGUAAAGAUAGGUACUAUUGACGAAGGUAAUUAUUAUUGACGAAGAUAAUUACUAUUGACGAAGGUAAUUACUAUUGACGACGGUAAUUACUAUUAACGAAGACACUCUUAGAUGAUGACAUAUGGGCCCCCCAUAAAAUAACCAAACUAACCGCAAACGUCUCAUAAUAGACUCUUUAUAUACAUCAAUGAUUGAAUAAAUAUUAUCACAAAUCAUUUUAUUUUUAAUCAAGACAUAUUUAAUCUUUCAACAAUUAUUAAUCAUUUAUAACUUGUCGUCUCAAUUAUUGAUUUAAUAAUAUAACAUAUU
rnacentral:lncRNA from 1 species